rnacentral:tRNA from 1 species
GGGCGAUUAGCUCAGCUGGUUAGAGCGUCUCUCUUACACAGAGAAGGUCGAAGGUUCGAGUCCUUCAUCGCCCACCA